GGAACGCCACAGUGGACAAAAAUCCCAAUCAAUGAUAUACGUAUAGAAAGGUGGUGUGGUGAUGCGCGAAGUGCAUUGCCUCAUUAAUGCACCAAUUUCAUAAUCGAUUUCCAAUUUCAGUGAUCGAUUUUCUAGGACUUCAUGAUGUAUUCACGUGAUCAUCACCCCGCCUAAGUAGGCGUGUCGUCUUUUAAGUAAAUUAUAAACAAGAUGGCGACGACAUGUUUAUCAUGAGGUGUAAUGGUUAUUUUUUUGUAAUUCUACAAGUAAUAGCCCUUGUGUAAUUCUUUAGAUGUGUGGGGGGGGGGGUCUGAAGCACUCAUUUUGAGGUCAUUCUUUCCAAGGGAAAAGACACAAGAAGUGAAAAGAUCAUGAGAUAGCAUUCAAAGAAUGAAGAAUGGCCCAGAGACCCCAUAAA